CACACCUGCUUUCAAGAUCCUGCUUUCCUGACUGUCCUGUCCCAGAGUUCCUCCACAACAGAGCUGCAGCCUUCCCUUGGCUCAACCAUGCUCCUGGAGCUCCUCCCAGUGCUGGGGAUACACUUUCUCCUGAGAGAUGCCCAAGCUCAGUCAGUGACUCAGCCUGAUGCUCGUGUCACUGUCUCUGAAGGAGCCUCUCUGCAGCUGAGAUGCAAUUAUUCCUCCUCUGUGACACCUUAUCUGUUCUGGUAUGUCCAGUACCCGCGGCAGGGGCUGCAGCUGCUCCUCAAGUACUAUUCAGGAGACCCAGUGGUUCAAGGAGUGAAUGGCUUCAAGGCUGAGUUCAGCAAGAGUGACUCUUCCUUCCACCUGCAGAAAGCCCCUGUGCACUGGAGCGACUCGGCUGUGUACUUCUGUGCUCUGAGCACACAGUGUGUGGGGCUGCAGGGGGAGCUGAACACAAACACCCAUGGCCGUGGGUGCUCACACUCAAGAUCUCUCCUUGUGGUCUCUGUGGCAUCUCUUUGGACUUGGAAAGGAAAGAAGGAAAGGUUCACAGUCUCAGCUGUCUUUCUGUAACACAUUUCCAGCUAAAACAUGCACUGUACCCAAUGCUCAGUUGUAGUUCUGUGGAGUUGAGGAGACUGUGACGUUAUCCUGAGUGUUAUUGCCUGAGUGAACAUUGCUUGGGCAGUGACUAGACUAAGCAGCUGAUGAGGAAGCUGGGCUUUCAUUUUGUCCCUUUAAGUGUCGUCUACACAGGACGUGAAAGGCGGACUCUUCAGCUUCUGUCCCGGAAUUUUCCUUCUCUUCUCAAUCUUUCAUGCUAAUUUCUCUGUAAAUUCUUCUUUUGCUGCUAAAUGUAACUGAUCAGAAUUGGUCAUAAUAUUUAAGUAUUGCCAUCUGGGAAGUAAUUUCAUGCCUUGUUAGUCAAUAUAGGAUUUCAUCAGUACCACAAACGUUUUGGAAUCUGUCAUAGUUAUGUAAGUUCUAGCAAUCAUUAA